AAUUGUUUUUUUAACUUUAUCCUUUUCUGCGUAACAUUGUGGAAAUGUGUACGGUUUCAAAUGCGUGCGUGCGUGUGUGCGCGCACGUGCGAUGUAUUAAAUUAUUGUCUACUGCUAGGAUAGUUGUGGUGGCCUUAAGUCUAAUGAAGUUCGUUUGAAACGCAACGUAAAAUAAAGUGAAGAAAUUAUUUAUUUAAUGCACCACUGUACGAAGGAGGUAAUAGGGUAAUUGUGUGUGUGUGUUUAAGCGAUGAAGAAAGAAACACCUUUUCGAUAGGAUUCCAGGUUUUGUUUUAAAGUAAAUGGUUGAUUGUUCGUGCUGCUCAUUCAUGCGUUGCAAUGAAGUUGAAAAUACUAUAUAAAUGGGUCGAACGGCAUGCAGACAAAUCAUUCAAUAAAACAGCACCAGUUCAAACGGUCGAUCUACAGAACGAUCAACAUAACAAUGGAGUCCGUUCGUCAGGAAAUAAGUCAGCGUUACCAAACGGAUGUUCCUACCAUGGACGUCUACAACAAGGAAGCGAUGGCCAUCAUGGGCAUGGGAUUACCACCGGAGGAGAUGCUGAAGGAAUGCUGUUCAAUUUUCCAGCUCGCAACUGCAAAUCGAAUGAAAUAUGAACUUAACAACUCGUCUUUCCUCUUCCAAUACGGGCCAACUAUUGGAACGACGGAAUUUCGUAAAACACUAGCUUCGUUUCUAACCGAGGGAUAUCGUAGCGAAGUGCACAUGUCCGAUCUGGUUCAAACUAGCGGUGCUACGAAUGGGCUACAUCUGAUACUCUCCACCCUAGUGGAUUUGGCUGGUGUAAUAUUCGUUGACGAAUACACGUACAUGAUAGCGCUGGAAACCAUAGCCCAGUUUAACACAAUGAAAAUAGUUACAGUGCCCCUUGACGAGGACGGUCCCAACGUGGCCUCACUGCAAGCGCUGAUCGAUCAGCACCGGUUUGAGGCGCAGAAAGGGAAACUAUUCUGGGGCGUUUAUUACACGAUACCGACGUUUCACAACCCCACUGGAAUCGUAUUUCCUGCCGAAAAAUGUCAACAGCUGAUAAAGCUCGCCCGCGAAACCGACAUCUUGAUUGCGUGUGACGACGUGUACAAUUUAUUGCACUACGAUGAUCCCACGGCACCUCCACCCAAGCGUCUGUUUGCCUACGAUAUUGCCGAUAUGGGACGGAUGGAUGGAUGGCGCGGCAACGUUAUAUCGAAUGGAUCGUUUUCAAAGAUCCUUUCGCCUGGCAUUCGGUUAGGCUGGAUGGAAUGUCCUCCUCGGUGUGUGGAAGCAUUUCGCAACAGCGGUGUGUUGAAAAGUGGAGGUGCAGCCAACAACUACACCGGUGGCAUAGUUUGCACUCUCAUUCAAAUGGGCUUGGCCCAGAGACAGCUGGAACACUACAGCACCAACUACUCGAUGCGAUUGAAUGCUAUGGCGCAGACGCUAGAGGAACAUCUUCCCAAGGAGUGCAGCUUCCGCAAGCCGAAGGGUGGCUACUUUGUCUGGAUACGCUUUCCGGCCCACAUCGAUUGCGCCGAAUUCAACCGAUACUGUUUGGAAAAGUACAGCGUAUCCGCUAUUCCCGGCAUAAGGUUUUCCAUCACUGGGGAGGCCCGUCACUUCAUACGCCUCACAUUUGCGUUCCACGAGCCCGACUAUCUGCGCCGCAGUGUGAGAACAUUCUGUCAGGCGGCAAAGGAUUAUCUUGCGAUAGUGUCGUCAUCGUAAAACCGUACAAACUACCGACACCCGUAUCAAAUUCUAACCCUUAUCUUUAUGGUAUCUCGUACAAAAUCUUACGAUAGCAGACGCGCCAAUAAAAGCUACAUUUGGACGAGAGAAAAGCCCGCGUUAAGCCUCGUAUCACAUCUUUUACCACGCAUCGGUCAGGCAGCGCCAUCGUAUAGAUUGUACGGCAGUUAAAUUUUAUCGCCGUCUGUUUGAAUUUGUUGAUUGAGUACAAUAGCGAAAUGGCGGCAUACACAACUUCUUGAUGGGAGGUUUGCUCGCACCCAGCCAAGCUCACGUGUUUUGCGCACGCAUUGAGCUAGAAGCAAAACAAGCGGCCCGAAGUGUCUGAUCUAUCUGCAAAGUGACGCAUCGGGUUAAUUGUGGUCGCACUUCGGACGAGCAAAUUGAAACCAAUCAGGUUUUUUUUCUGUACAGAACGCAUGCGUUAUAGAUCUGAUCUGGAGCUGCCGUGUGUGUGUGUGUGUGUGCGUGUUCAACAAUUGCCAGAUACUACGUCAGCCCAAAAGAUCAUUUGAUUUUUGACAAAUAAAGAGAAAAAGAAAAGAUUUACCAAAACCCUCCGUCUCAAUAUCGAUUGGUCAAAUAGUCACGCGCAUUACACAUCCCCCGAAGUCAAUCUUAAAGCGCGGAAGCGCAUAAAACCGAUGCGGCCGUUUUGUUUGCAUACCUCCACCCCUAGCACCACCCUUCGGCCACACAAACACACCCCAUUCCUUUCCCGGUCCCAAGCAAUUCAUUUGCGGCAAAUUCCAUUCGAUUGGUUUUGGAAGAAUUUCGCAAUCUUACCUCCCGAGAUCCAUCAAAAGCUUAAGGACAUAAAAGGGAAAACGGUAUCGUCGUGGCCCUUCUUAUCUUAUCGCGCCUUCGUUUCAGAUUUGGUAUUCGUCCACAGUUUGCCACACAUCACAAAAUGUACCUGUGUGUAUGUGUGUCUGCCUUUGAUAAGCAAAUAGCACUUCAAUUUCUCGAUCACCCAUGGAAUUCCACCUCCACGGGUUGGGUCACCUGUUUUUUUGCUAACCGAGGGAAGAAUAGAAAUCGCUAGAAACUGUGCCCUUCUGCAGUGCAGUAGCUGUUCCAGGUUUCCCUUUUCCGGUUGAAUCUUUGUUACGGCCGGCAAGGCAAAUACAAACGCACACACAAAUGGUUUCCUACGAAUCCGUAUCGUCGUUCCGGUGGCCACAUCUUCACGGUUACGGGAGAAGAAGAUUUCGCGUUCGCGCUAGCAAACAAAGCGAUCUCGCCGGAUACUCACGCACACUGUUGCCGCACGCUCGAAAACAUCCCCCACCCUUCCUUUCCGGCACUAUGGGGUUAGGAGGAACAAAGAACGGCCGAAAAGGCCGUUCUGUUUGGUGUUGUGGGAAUUUUAUUUCAUGUCCCCACGCAGCUCGCUCAUAAAUGGCGUACUAUUUUUGAGAUGUAAUUUAUUUUUAUCAUCUGUUUGUGCAUUACCUUUCCAUUGACUUACCAGUCGAAGGAUAGGAACAAACAUCGCAGUAAGCCGCAGAUCGUUGAUCAAUAACGUAUUCAAGCGCUACUAAGAUUAAAGCGUAUUUACUAUUAUUAUCACUACUACCAAAUAAAGUAUAAUGGCCUUAAAGUAAACAAAAAAAAAUGCAGCACUUUUAAUAACAAAAAAACAAUAAAAAAAACUGCCUAAAAUUCGCAUCCGUUCAUCCAUUGUUCUCGCGCUUCGUUGCCAACACCACUACAUACAUACGCGUACCACAAACGUAGGGUUUUCGCGUGAUUCAACACCACCCGAUGCGUGCGUUUUAUUCAUUCGCUUGAAAUACUCGCGGCGUAGCGGAUCGUACUCGCGCUGUCAGUCUGCCGUCCACGCACUAUCAGUGUGUGAACGUAAAAAGGUGAAAAAAAAAACACUCCCAGAGACUUACCAACGUUUGCAAG